rnacentral:rRNA from 1 species
UGACCGCUGGCGGCGUGCCUACUACAUGCACGUCGAGCGAACGGACGAGAAGCUUGCUUCUCUGAUGUUAGCGGCGGACGGGUGAGUAACACGUGGAUAACCUACCUAUAAGACUGGGAUAACUUCGGGAAACCGGAGCUAAUACCGGAUAAUAUUUUGAACCGCAUGGUUCAAAAGUGAAAGACGGUCUUGCUGUCACUUAUAGAUGGAUCCGCGCUGCAUUAGCUAGUUGGUAAGGUAACGGCUUACCAAGGCAACGAUGCAUAGCCGACCCGAGAGGGUGAUCGGCCACACUGGAACUGAGACACGGUCCAGACUCCUACGGGAGGCAGCAGUAGGGAAUCUUCCGCAAUGGGCGAAAGCCUGACGGAGCAACGCCGCGUGAGUGAUGAAGGUCUUCGGAUCGUAAAACUCUGUUAUUAGGGAAGAACAUAUGUGUAAGUAACUGUGCACAUCUUGACGGUACCUAAUCAGAAAGCCACGGCUAACUACGUG